rnacentral:misc_RNA from 1 species
AUCCUUGUAUGAUUCUUCACCUAAUGUGUCCAAUUCCGCAAUGGCUUCUUCAAAUGCCUGUUUGGCCAUGCUACAGGCUUUGUCAGGCUGGUUCAGGAUCUCAAAGUAAAAAACAGAGAAAUUUAGUGCUAGGCCCAGCCUGAUUGGAUGCGUUGGUGCAAGAUCGGCAGCUGCAAUAUCCUGAGCAGCCUUGUAAGCUAGCAUGGUAUCCUCGGCGGCGGACUUCCUCUCCUCCCCGAUCUUAAACUCCG